rnacentral:lncRNA from 1 species
GCGCCAUCCCGGAAGCGCCAUCCUGGCCGCCAGAUGUGCAGGCUUCAGGGGUUAAGGAGAAAGAGAUGGACACCCCAGACUCAGCCUCAAGGGUCUUCUGUGGCCGCUUCCUCAGCAUGGUGAACACUGAUGACGUCAACGCCAUAAUUCUGGCCCAGAAGAACAUGCUGGACCGCUUCGAGAAAACCAACGAGAUGCUUCUGAACUUCAACAAUCUGUCCAGCGUGCGGCUGCAGCAGAUGAGCGAGCGCUUCAUGCACCACACCCGCACCUUGGUGGACAUGAAACGGGACCUGGACAGCAUCUUCCGCAGGAUCAGGUGGCCCCCUCCCCCCAGAGCUCUUCUGUGGUCUCACAGCCAGAUGCUUCCUCAGCACAUCUUCCCCAAACCACUGUUCUCAAUCCCCCACUCUUGGCCCUUUCUGUCACCAACUCUUUAGAUGUCCAGCGCCUUCACUCUGAAGCUCUUCCUAGUACCUCCAAGACCCUACCCCAGGGCCCUUUGCUCACCUCUGCCUCCUUAGUCCCUUAAGUCCUUGCUCCACCCUCUCCCCUCUCCCUCCCCUCCGAGGCCUCCUCUUCUCUUCACUAGCUCUGCCCUCUGUCUUCUUCAGUCUAGGGAAUUAUGGAUGUUUAACAAGACAGAUCUGACCUCUGAGGGAGUGAUAUGGAAGUGAAUCUCUUCCCACCCCUUCUUUUUUUUGUGUGUAGCCUUUGUGUUCUGGAACUCCCUCUGUAGACCAGGCUGGCCUUAAACUCAGAGAUCCAUCUGCCUCUGCUUCCUGAAUGCUGGGAUUGAAGCUUGGGUGUUUAAUCACCCAGUUGUGACUUUCCCUUUUACUUGGAACCUGUGCUACAUAGUUGGGACCCUAUACGAGUCAGGAGGCGGGUAGACAGGCCGGGCCCUCCACUUCUGGCUGACUGGCCAGCAGAGAACCGGGGCCCCGUGUCCAUCCUGGAUAUAGGUAGGGUUUGGUUUGGGUCUUCCCACAGUGGUGCUCGCUCCUGGACCAUGAUAUCCACGUCUUUGGCACUCAGCAUGGUCCUUCAGGUGUACUCCACAGCCUCACCCACCACUGUGGCAGACACACCAGCAGCCAGCUGCCCAGACCAGAACAGCCAAGACCACGGGAUCCAGAUCACACGUGUGCCCUAUCCUCUAGCCCAAGGCUGUGUGGCCUGGGGACCUAAGGGAACAAAGUAAACUCUACCCAGAAGUCUUGAGAUGCUCUAUACCAGUCUAUUUAAUGUUUUUAUUGGUGCUGUUUUGCUUUGUUUUUGAGGCAAGGUCUCAAUUGCUGUCCUGAAACUCACAAAGAUCCACCUGCCUCUGCCUCCCUGGUACCAAGGUGCUCUGCUGCCCUUGUCUGCUAGUUUUUCUAGCCCCGAAUGCCAGGCUGACUCGACAUGUAGUUUGGGGAAUAGGUAGCUCUUUGAGCCCCAAGAGUAAAUACAGCAGCAUGUGUCCUAGAUCCCCAGAAAGGAGACAAGAGUCCAGUGUGUCAAGUGCUGAGCCUCACAAGUGCUGAGUCAUUGUGUGACUGCCACACUGGCUGCUGUCAGUGUAUGGGCUGACUCUCUGAAGACCCUUCUUUAGCCCGUCAGGCCUGGAGUGCAGGACUUCAGGGCAGAGCAACCAGAAGCCAGUUCA